UCCAGACUCCUACGGGAGGCAGCAGUGAGGAAUAUUGGUCAAUGGUCGGGAGACUGAACCAGCCAAGCCGCGUGAGGGAGGAAGGUACAGAGUAUCGUAAACCUCUUUUGUCAGGGAACAAAGACUGGGACGCGUCCCCGGAUGAGUGUACCUGAAGAAAAAGCAUCGGCUAACUCCGUGCCAGCAGCCGCGGUAAUACGGAGGAUGCGAGCGUUAUCCGGAUUUAUUGGGUUUAAAGGGUGCGCAGGCGGUCUGUUAAGUCAGCGGUCAAAGCCCGGGGCUCAACCCCGGCCGGCCGUUGAAACUGGUUUUCUAGAGUUGGAGAGAAGUAUGCGGAAUUCGUGGUGUAGCGGUGAAAUGCAUAGAUAUCACGAAGAACUCCGAUUGCGAAGGCAGCAUACCGGCUCCAUACUGACGCUGAGGCACGAAAGCGUGGGGAUCGAACAGGAUUAGAUACCCCUGUA
rnacentral:rRNA from 1 species